rnacentral:other from 1 species
UAGGCCCUGCCUUGUUCGCGAAUGGGUGUUUCUCUGAUCCAGUAUAGCUCUGAUCGGGAACCGACCGUCCGCGCGCGGCAUUCAUGCCCCCUUGCGGGGAAGGAUAAAGCGCUCGGCACGUUCCCACCUGGUGACCCCAGGCUCGGAGAACUCUACCCCUACGGCAAGGUGGGGCUUUU